rnacentral:rRNA from 1 species
GAAACGACUGCUAAUACCGCAUAAGCCCACGGCUCGGCAUCGAGCAGAGGGAAAAGGAGUGAUCCGCUUUGAGAUGGCCUCGCGUCCGAUUAGCUAGUUGGUGAGGUAACGGCCCACCAAGGCGACGAUCGGUAGCCGGACUGAGAGGUUGAACGGCCACAUUGGGACUGAGACACGGCCCAGACUCCUACGGGAGGCAGCAGUGGGGAAUAUUGCACAAUGGGGGAAACCCUGAUGCAGCGACGCCGCGUGGAGGAAGAAGGUCUUCGGAUUGUAAACUCCUGUUGUUGAGGAAGAUAAUGACGGUACUCAACAAGGAAGUGACGGCUAACUACGUGCCAGCAGCCGCGGUAAAACGUAGGUCACAAGCGUUGUCCGGAAUUACUGGGUGUAAAGGGAGCGCAGGCGGGAGAACAAGUUGGAAGUGAAAUCCGUGGGCUCAACCCAUGAACUGCUUUCAAAACUGUUUUUCUUGAGUAGUGCAGAGGUAGGCGGAAUUCCCGGUGUAGCGGUGGAAUGCGUAGAUAUCGGGAGGAACACCAGUGGCGAAGGCGGCCUACUGGGCACCAACUGACGCUGAGGCUCGAAAGUGUGGGUAGCAAACAGGAUUAGAUACCCUGGUAGUCCACACCGUAAACGAUGAUUACUAGGUGUUGGAGGAUUGACCCCUUCAGUG